CGACUCGUUUUUUCAUUUUGUUGUUGUUGGAAAAUUAAAGAUAAUUAUGAUUGCCAACACAGAAGAAGAAGGAAGACACAAAAACAAGACAAAAAGCGAACCAAAGAGACGUACUUGAAGUUGCCACACAGAGCAUAAUCAUUCAUGCAGCAGGCUGUUGUAUUUGUAUCUGUGAGAUACGCAGCUCACAAAUGAUUAUGAUAAAAAGCAGCAGCCGCAAAAAAAUAAAAAGUAAAAAAAAAAAACUACAAGAACAUCAUCGGAACAGCAUAAGCAUAUAAAUUGAAUCGAAAAUAAACGCACAAAGAAGCGAGAGACAGGAGACUCUCCACAUGAACCGAUGAACUGGCGCUGAUAACAGCCAAAAAAACCAAA